rnacentral:misc_RNA from 1 species
AUCUUCUGUUAUUAAUGAUAUUUUCUAUUUAGAGAAUAUUUAGGUGAGGUUUUACUUGGACACCCAUAAUAAUUAAAUAAUUAUGGAUAAUGACCAAGGCGGAUGAUUUUCAGUUUUGAGAAAGCUAUUUACUUUCUCAAGAAUGUUUUUUGAAAUGAAAAAGAUAAUAACCGAGUUAACUUAAUAAAGUUAAUCAUACGUAAAUUAAUA